rnacentral:lncRNA from 1 species
GCAAUUAAGAUCUCAACAUAUCUUCUAGGAGGACACAACCCAACCCAAUACAGAAGCGUAGUAAGUGUUACUACACAGAGGAACUAACGUGGAAAUAUGCCAGUGGAAAGAAGGGGGGAUCUAAGUUAGCUGCCCCACAUCUGUCACAGCGGAAAGCCAAGAGACAAAGACUGCAGUUGGUAAAGCGAGAAGCGAUGGUAGAAACUCACUCUUGCAUGAAGGUAUUCGAAGUGGUUCUUUUAUGAAGCCAGUCUAAGCACUUCAGUAAUAAAAAGAGGAAGAACAAACAGUCCCAACCCUGCGAAGAUGCUGUAUGGAGGUCAGGCUGCCCAACAGGCUGGAAGAGGCACAGCACGAAUGCUGCAGAUAAGGAAAUUGAGGCUCAAGUUUUUCACUAACUCCCCCAAUGUCACAAGACAAAGCAAUCGAUCAGGGUUUCAAAGCAAUAACCACUUGUCUGGUUCAGCAUCUCCACAGAAACUGCUCCAGUGCUGGGCUCAUCCAAUCAGAGGCCCUCUUGCCACAUUGAACGCUACCCUAGGAGUGACAUGAAAGCCAUUUCCUGUGUUUUCCACAGGAGGGCAGAUGCCCUUCCUCCACCAGCCAAGGUGACCUCACUCAAGUUGCUCGCUGAACCUGCCCUGGCAUCCGUCUCACCGAGCCCCGUCAAAGGCUCAAACACUUGACUCACCUAGCCCGUCAGUCCUCUACCUUUUGGGCUGUUCUGGAAUGGAGCUCAGGAACAAAGUAACGACCUCGCCCCCCCUUACCCAGGUCACCUUUCCUUGUUCCAAGC